CCCAAUAAAGUCUGUUUUGACGAGAAACGCCUGAGACUCCUUUUUCGCGUCGGACGGCGUGUGCUUUUGGCGCCUGGUUUCGGGCGGGCGAUGCUGUUGGGGUCAGUGAGGAAAGCCAGGCGAACAAAGGCGGGCGGGCGGGCAGCAGCAGCAGAAAAUGUCCGCCAGCGGUCGCGGUCCCGCUUCGCCCCGCUGGGCCCGGGGGCGAGCGCAGUUUGGCUGCGCGGGGCGGGUGGGCGGAAGCGGCGCGCGGAGCCCCCAGGUCCACCGUUGGGAAGAUGUCCGUUAUCCUUUUGUGACCCGCGGAAACCUGAGGUGGAGCCGUUGGGUGCCUGCUUCCCGGUAGAUCUUGGAACUCAGGAUCCCGGCCGCUCGUCGUGUAUCGGCUCUUCAUGGCUUCCUAACAUUUCCUUCAGAGCCUCCCUUUCUUCUCUGUCCAACGAGUCAUUGUUUCCCUUGACCACUAUCUUCACCUAUUUUUCCCUUUCAUAGAUGCUCCUCCUUGUACCCACCAGGCUUUGCAUUUGUCUCUUCGAUGAAAAUUACAGUUUUCCCGCCCUGUUCUUCAUCAUACCUGCAACAGAGCCUAGAUUUUUCCUGGCGCGAAUUAGCGACAAGUUAGACGUUCCUGAACAGUUAGAUAUAUUGCAGAGAACUGGUUUUGUCCCUAUUAAAGCAAUAGAAAUAAAGAUGUCCUGAUUUUUAAGAAAGUAAGGAAAAACUGAAAACUCGGGGAGCGUGCAUCUUCGUUGUACUCUUUUGGCCAAUUUAACGCCCGUGUGUUUCUUGAAGUGUGUAUUCUCCACGUUUACUCGUCUUUUGGGAUAGUGUUCUUGCCAUUGAUGCCACUGAUUAUUCUGAACCGUAGUACAUCAAUCUCACAUCUAACUUGUUAAAACAAGUGGGUGUCUUUGAGAACAUAUUAGGGGAAAGUUUAUGCAUUCAGAAGUGACUCGAUCAGUCUUAAUUUAGUCUCUACUUUUUUUCUAAAUGGCAUUGGACUUGAUUUUUGAGAAUAUUAGUGUAAAGCGUGAAAAAUAAGAUCAUUUUCUUUUUGAAUCUUGAGUUUUAAAAUCUGAGUAAUUCCCCUUGGAGUUGUGCACCCACACAGUUUGGCAAAGUCAUAUCUGUUGAAAUAAGUCAUUUCUGGCUUUCAUAGCUUAUAAAUUCUGCAUAAAUGUUUCACAAAUGAAAACCAGUUGUGGGAGAAUUUUUAUGUGGCUUAAUUUCAUUUUCCCCACUCUCUAGUAAUGAUGGGAAAAUGUCUUUGCGAGUCGUUGAUACUUCCUUGUAGACACAAGGAAAAUGGGGAAGUACCCAGUUAGCCUAGUUUCAAGUGGAGAAAGCUGAAAGGGGGUUUUUUAAACUGUCAAAAAGGAUGAUAGGUGUGAGAAAGCACUGACAUGCCCCAAAUUGCUAUGCUAGCACCCGCUCCAUGAAUAGCUUUUAAAACUCACCCUAAAGCAGGUGACUGGUUAGGCAGACCUCAAGUUUUCUGUGGUGGGAAAUAUUCUUGUCUUCCACUCUGUAGCUGCAGAGUCUCUUAUGACUAGCCCUGCAAAGACAGAUAGUCUGCAGUAUUGGCUCAGGCCUGCUUGCACUUGCUGCUAAAGGCAAAAAUCCAUGUAAAGGACAGGUUGAAUUGCGUUUCAGAGCCAUGGGUUUAAAAGGUGGGGUUCAUUUCACUGCUUCUGUUUGGGCAGAAUAAAUUGGGCCAGUGGGCGUUCCCUCUGAACUUCUAGUCCUUUCGUUUUAGCAGCAAAUGAUUAACAUUGCUUAAUUAAUCUGGUAUUUCUCUUACACCAGUGUUUGGGUGUUUUUACCCUUCCAGCUUCCAAGGGCCGUGGCGGUGUCUGUUGACAGCUCAGUGCCUUGCACGUGGAAUUAUUGUUUGCUUUUUGGUUCAUGAAAAAAUGAAGUGGAAAGCGCUGACAGGAGUUCCAUGUGAUAGUGGUCGGCCUUUUCAAAGUCUCAAGUUCCAACUUUGUACAAAGCUUUCAGUCUACUGUAGAAAUGAAUAACAACUACCGAAGAAAGUAGGACACUGAAGAAUCACAGGAGCUGUGCAGAGCUUUCUAGACUCUCCAAGAAGUCAGCUCAUUAAUAGCUGAGGAGACGUAGUGAUAAAUACAUUGCAAGGAAUGUGCGCUUUGGCCACCUGAUCAGGCCAGCAGCAGGAUGAGGAUGAGGGCUGUUAGCCACAGCCCUCGCUGUCUCCCCACAGCCGUUGCUGUCUCUCCACACCCCUCAUUUGCUAGUGAUUCCUUUCCUGAAGCCUCCAUUCAGGGCUCCAACUAUGUUUUAAGAGCACGUGGUUUAGAAAAGGACACCUGUGGAGUUGGCGAAGGGUGGGAGAGGGUGGAGAAAGAAUAAAGGAUAUGAGUUAAAAAGAUGCCUGGUAGCUCUUUCCUUGCUUUUUUCAGAGAAUCUUAUUUAGUGACUUUUGGGAGGCUAACAAAUCUACUUGUACUAUUUCUAUUUCUAGCAGGUUGGAAAUGAUUUCCAGCAUUGAACUCAUGCUAAAUUAUUUCUUUUACCACAAGCUAAUUUAAUUCAGUUGCCUCAUGAAAGUGCCUUUUGGUUAGUUCUACUGUUUAGUUCUUUUGAAGUUACUUCAAGUAGCAGUCAGUGUUCUGCAUCAGUUACAGUAUGGAGAAUGUUCCAACUGGCAGGACCAGUCCAGUCUCUUCCAGGAAACCAGCUGAAAGCAGCUGCUCACAGUCAAUUGCAAGGUAGUGAGGGGGCUGUGUGGCUAGAACUAGCGUUCCCUGCCUUUUGUUAGGCUGCAAAGCCUCUGUUUUUUUUGGGGGGGGGAGAAGGUAGUACCCUCCCUGUUCUAAUUCAAAUCCAUGCUGAGUUUCCAAUAAAAAUUUUAGAAAAAUCAGGAUGAAAAUUCAUGUGUAUGCAUCUAAAUUAGUUGUGCCUAGUUUGUAUUAGUACAAGUUAGAUGACAAACUAUAGGUGUGUACACGCUUUCUUAAUCAUUUAAACGAUAGUUAUGGAAUCUGAAAUUCGAGCUACUAAAGGGAGAAUUUCGCCCCCCAAAUAAAUGCGUAUAUUAGAUUUGGAGCUUAAAUUACGGUGAAACGGCCUAACUACAUGCCUAGUAAAUUAACAUCGUUUAUGCAACAUUUUAAGUCUAAUUAUUUUUCUGAGGGCUACGUGAUUUAUUGCAGUAAGUGAAUCUGGUUAUUGCCCAUAAGACUGAGGAAAGUUGAAAUCUUCAAUAAUAGAUUAACGUUGUUUUUCUUGACUUUGCUAUUAGAAUUCCCCUCACAGGAAAAGCCAAAUCAACUUACUUGUCCCGCAGUUGCUCCUGCCACCUGCCCAUCCAAACGAAUGCAGCAGGCACACCGGAAAAGAAUGAGCAGAAAAUUCUCAUUCAAUUGUGGUAACUUUCACAGUCAUGCUUGUUUCACAGCGUAAGAAGGGCAGGACCAUGUCCUGUCCACGUACUAGUGAGUGUGAAGAUCUUCAUGUAGUAGAACAGGAAGAGCUCACAUGGACUCGUCCUCAGAGUGGACAGCACAGGGAUUUCCCUGGUGGUUAGAUGCCUGAGCUGGGGGACCAGGUGAGCCCAGCUGUUCUCCCGGUUUGGGAACGCCUGCUGUGCAGCCCAGGCUGGAGGACACAGCCUGAACUCGAGGACAAGGAGCCUGCAGGACAGAGAGGAGAAGGCUCUGAACAGGUAGCUCCCAAACACUCGUUUCUAGUGUGGGAAGUCCUAGGAGGAAGGGGAGACUCUGGGGACGAGCGGAUGUAGCCCAGCCUCAUCCGGUGCUGGCCUUCCCAAGGACUCAGACUUGAACAGUCUACGUAUCUUGUUUGUUUGUUUGUUUUAAUGUGAAUCUCUGUGAAAAGACUAAAUAGAAUAAGUCAGGUGAUAAAUUCGUAAAUAUUUGGGACAAGCCCACGGCACUCAGAAAAAGGCUCUUUUUAGCCUUGGAAAUUCAUCAAUUUGAAUUGAUCCACUGAAACUGCAAUCAAAGAUGGCCGAGGUUUUCUCAAUACUUGGCUACUAACAUCACAUCCAAUUUUUGGGGGGUUUUUAUGAGCCAUUCCUCGUUCCAAGUCCCAGCUUGAACUUGGAGAUUAAUAAUGGAAAUUGUUCUGGAGUUUUGGGCUUUGGAAGAUAAAGCAGCUGCAAAAUUGGUCGGUGGGAAGAGCAGACGAAGUGCUCAGAACUUGGGUUCAGGUCCUGGCUGUGCCGUUUAUCAUCCAUGUAACCUCAGCAGAGUCCUGUCCUCUGCUCUUUAUUUCCUCAGCUGUAAACAGGCCCAGGCAUGCCUGUCUUCAGGGAUGAUAGGAGUCAGCGGUAAUGGUAAGUGAAGUGCCCAACCUAGGUAGGUCAAUUCUCUGCGCUCUCCAGGGCAGUUACAUCCCGUCUCGCCCUUUGUUCCGUUGCGGGGUGAACUAGCCUCUGCCCACUCAACAUCUCUGCUUCUGGCUCUCCUUUGCAUCCAGGCACUGCCAGCUUUAGGGUUAAUGCUUACAGGCAGGACCUCAUGUUCUUAGAGUAGAUGAAAAUUCAUUUGCUAGCCAGACUUUUUUUUUUUUUUUUUCUUUUUAAGAGAUUUGUCAUCAGCGAUAAGUUUUUAAUCUCUCUGAGCUAGGUGGAUUACUGUCCAUUAAAAGUAGAAUAAACAACUUGCUUUUGUGUUUUCUGUGUCAAUCAGAACUUAAUGUCUCAAUACCAGAGCUCCUUGUGGAAGUCUAUUUCUAUCUGUGAUCCAGCUGUGUCUUAAGAAUCACUUUUCCCCUUGCGACACAGAGGUGCCUUGGCUGGAGAGGGUAGACCCAAGAAGACUUGGCAGGGCUGUUAUCACUGAGAUCAACAUCUGCUACUCAGGGCAACAGCAGCCCGGAGGCGGAGAGCAGGUCAGGGGAAGACAGCAGCCUCCUCUCCACACUCCCCCGGGAGCCACAGUCCUGUUCAGAGUUGCCACCAAACUUCCUUGGUGCUCGGUAGGGCACCGCUCUUUCCUCCCUUAGGUCAUGUACAAUUUUAAACUGGGGGUUGAAAGGACAGGGUGGGGAGGAAGGAUUUUAUUAUAUUGUAAACUGCACCAUCCUGUUAACUGCCGGAGGGAUGCACGCGGAGUGUCCUUGCACUGUUUUAAAUGGCAUUGUCAUUGUGGCGAGACCGUAAUCUUGGAUCCCUUGAAUCUUUUUCCUAACGACUUUCUGACCAAACUGCAAAGGCGGUGCUGACCCCGAUGUGGUUUGAAGCUAGCGCCAUACCAGCUGCCACCCUCUCUACCAUCCUCACCCUCUCCUGUGUCACACUUGGUCUCAAUCUUCCUCUGGAACCUCAGCCAUAGCACACCCUUCGAUGACUUGAGUCCACACAGCCUCUUUACGUGCCGGCCUUUGCACCUCCAGCUGCCUUCAUUUCCUCUUCAGCUGCCACGUCCUGAUCCUUGUAAUCCCUAAGAUGACACCACGUCAGUGAACCUUAAGCUCUCCAUAUCCUGUCCUCCCUGACCCCCCUGACCCUCACACCUUCCUCCCGUUAACCCUUUAUUUCAGCCUCAGACCUUUCUAAUCCCUCUUUCUCUCCCAGAGUAAAGCGCCAUGGUUGAUCACAGCAUCCUCAACUUCCCAUCCUGCUUAAGCCUGAUGAAACUUCGCCCGUGGCUCAACCGUCUUCCAUCUCCACACUUCUGAAAUCCUGGGAUCUGCUGGAGGAAACACAACUCAUGUGACUGAUUUAAGAGGAGCGUGGGAGAACGCAAACCAUCUCUGGCCCGUGAAAUGCACAGAUCCUCAAGAGACCCUGUUCUUCCUUCCUGCCCCCAAACCGGUGUGAUGGCUAGGGCUGUGGCAGCCAUCCAAGACUGUGAGGAAAAGGCUGGGAGAAUUGCAGUCAAGGGUCAGGCACCGGGGUGCGAGCUGCCGCUACCGCAGGGCUUCUCGGAUCUUUUGGAUUCUUUAGCCAACUGUGACAUUUCCCUACCAGAAGGAAAAAUUGGAGUUGGAAGCUUUCUCACCAUUUGAAAAGCUACUAGUAGUGAAGUGGUUAGCUGUUUUCCUACUUCCUGCUCUGCUAAAGAGUGAGUUCUUUAACUUCUUGUCAUCAUCCAGUUAUUCUCCAUCUCUGAAACGUCCCCAGCGUAAGUCACUGUUCCCAUAGCAAGUCACUGUCUCCAUAGCCCCGGGCAGGUCUGCAUUGUACUCUAUGUCCUGUUGGACUCAUCAGUCCGUCCCCCCAGGAAACUACACAGAAGACAAACAGCAACGGAUUCAGCUCACUGAAGAGCCAGGUCACUCAUGUGGCGGCCACCCUGCCAGGUCCCCAGAGUGCAGCGAUGACCAAGCCGGCCGGGUACCAGACACUCUUCAUGGAACCUCUUGUCAGGCGGUGGAGGCGGUGGUAGAAUUCACUAAUUUAGGGGAGUCAUAGGAUUUAUGCCAGAAGAGACCCUAGAACCGAUUUAGUCUGACCCCUUGAGACACCCGGGUGAGGUGUCGAGACUGAUAGUAGGGUGAACUGGAAGUGCCCUUUCUGUUCCCGUCCUGGUUGGCUGUCAUCAAGACACUCUGAUUACUCAGCCAUCCCCAGUCAGCUCUUAGGCUCUGGUCUCUUCUACCCAAAAGCUUCCACUCUGCAAGAUAUCUCUCUGGCAGUCACACCAGAUUUUCUACUGUGACCCAGAUAUGCCUGUCCUUCCUCACCCCUCCUUCCCCAGGGUCUUUCUCCCCAAGCUUCACCUCUGGAUGCUGGAUCCUUCAGCUUCCACCCGAAAUGCCACCUUUUCAGCCUGACACAAGCCCAUCCUCUUGAGCAACUGCGGUCUCCAACCAGCGUGGGAUUCGUGUUCCCCAAGCUUUGGUCUUUGAAGGUGCCUGCAGGUAUAUGUUGAAGCCUCCUCCUCUUCCUGCCCCCCACGUCCCCCUUCCUCUGUCUUUGAGGUUGUAGAUUCUCUUUUUGUUAUGUGAACAUGAAGAAAGCAGGAUACACACUCAGUUAAUAAUGGUUACCUUAGGCAAGGCAAGGGAGAGAAUAAGUGCAAACCCACCUAUUGAACCCUGAGCAAGUGCAUGAAAUGAGAGGCCCCAAAGCCAGGAGUAGGAGGAGCCGUCCGCCCGCGUCUGGGUCACUGGGAAGCGGAUCGAGAAGUGUGUCGAGGCUCUUCCCGUCACAGCUCGGGACACGAGUUGGAGCUGGCUUCCGGAAGCACGGUGCCUCAUAUUUAUAGCGCACCGAGCAGCUCUUACGCGUGGGAGAAUGAACGAAAUCACUGGUGUCUCACUGUCUAUUAGACUGUGGCACCGUCGCCUACCGUCUCCCUUUCUCCCCUUUUCCUCCUUAUUCUUUUCGUAUCUUGUCCCUCCCGACUUCUUCCUGUGCUUUCCAUGUCCGUCACAUUUCCCUUUCCCAUCCUCCACGUCUUCCCUUCCCUGCUUCACUCAGCUCCUUCUUAAUGUAGUUAGUGUAUGCAUUUCACACUUGUCUUGCUUAUCUUAUGUGUUAUUAACGGAGCCAGUAGACGAGUUAUGGUUUGGAGCUUUUUCUCCCUAGAAAAAUCGAGCCCAUGUUAUUCUUUGAACGACUUUGAUGGGUUUUUCUCCCCGUGAAUCAGUGACGCACAGGAAAGCUGUGAAGCAUGGGCCCGGGGCGGACCGCGGGAGCCUGGGAGCUCUGCGUGGAGCUGAGCCUGGCCCUCGCGCACCCUCCAGUGCUUUCACCCUUCCCCCACCGCCCACCCACUGCACAAAAGGGCUCGGGUCUCUGAAGCUUUUCUCCACCAGCCCCCAGCCUCCGUGCUGGGAGGGAGAUGGACUGGCUGCUUCCAGGACUGUAGAGACCCACAAGGUAAAAACGGGGCUUCUGGGUGAAAAUUUGGUUCCUUCGAUCCAGUGCCUGAGGCUGAAGUAAAGUAGGCUUUGGCGUGUGCAGGCUGUGGAUGAAAACGGCUCUAAUAAAGCUGACCAGUGACAAAGUAACUUCACAGGCCGAUCCGAUCCGGUCACAAAUCCCUAACUGGGCAGCUCCUGGUGGGUAGUCACGCCCCAGGCCAUAACUGUUUUAGGAAAAGAUUUAUCUCAGCCUUGAGCAAGACCGCCCAUCACGCAUCUAGUUAACAUACCCUGGAAAUGCCAGAGUGAUCUUCCCUCAGACCCCUCAGAGGCGUCACCAGCCUCAGGAGAAGGUGCAAUCUCAGCUGUCCUGCACUCCUGUCCCACCUUGCCGUCUCCGCCUUCACAUAAUCUUCCUUACUUUCCCUCCUUAAUGUCAAAGGUAUUAAAAAAAACCUGCAAAACUCA